GCACGACAACGGCAAACCCAUCGAAAGGUGGGGACGCAAAGCUUCCGGCCUACAGGCGCGAGUCGCCCAGGGUAGCGGGGUUGCCGAA
rnacentral:ncRNA from 1 species